AUCUGUUGGAACAAAUCCUAGCGAGACGAGGUAACAGGCGUGUAGCGGCCACACAAGGCUAAGGAAUGCAUAUGGAUGUUGAAUGACAGUGAAUGCUCUGCACUCGUGCUGGGUGCAGACGAGUAAAGAGCCGAGCACAAGCACCCCAUGAUCUGCGCAAACAAAGACGCGUGCGCGUGUAGAGAAGAGAUCUGUGACCGACAGCGGCAGCGCCAUCACCUCCUUUGGUCUCGCACGUUUUACUUCUUGAGAGCAAGUCAUCGACGACGCCGAAGACGAAUAGAAGCGUGUUAGCCUACAUGCCCGAGGCUCAGCACCUCAAUGAAGUCGGGAGGGCUACGCACAAUGCUACGAAUACGAGGUACACGACGGCACCAUUGGAUACAUGCGAGGACGAGCAGCAAUUCAGCCGCACGGAUGCAGCAGAGACGAGCUGCACGCAGUUGGUUGGGUAUACAGAUCCCAGCUACGGUUGCGGCACCUCGUACGCGCCGCCGCCAGCUCGCAGUCGUGCCGGUGAGCCGCUGUGACUGUAACACUUACUAGUACUAUCCGGAUGGAAGCGCCCACCCGUACGGGCACGCUGCUGCUGUGGAGGCGCCUCGCCAAGUUGCUCCAUUUCCCGCUGCCGCUUCUUAAGGUAGAGCUGUAGCCGAGGUCCCAGUGGAGGAUGUCGCACUGUCGCCGGAGUCUAUGAAGGUGACCCUUGCGCCUGCGAUCCCACGUGGGACAACCACGUUGGCCGUCGACACGCCGCUGGAGAGUUUUGCGGAGAUAUGCAGGUGUGAUUCACGACUGAGUAGUCGGCGACGCCGAUGCCGCGGUUGUGUCGGCGCAAGCUUUUCUACUCUCUGAUGCUCUACGUGAAGCCUUGGUGCGUGGCCGCUGCACACCGGCGUCCACUUCCUCAUAAAGGUUACAACGAGUACCGUAGCUGCGCUGGCGUACGAGAGACGGUAAGCGAGCAGCUCGCGCUGCCGAGGGACGCUGCUGUGCUUGCCCUGCGCGUUGCAUAGGGAUAGCGACAUGUGGGUGAAGCGCUAAAGCCAUAGGCCAACGUGCUGGGACAGUACAAUUGCCGGAUGCAGAUGUUUCUUACCUCUACUACGAUGCUGCUAGCACACUUCUUGCUGAUUCCCUGAGUCGGCUUGCGACUGGCUUUACGUGCUGCUGUACGCGUGCAUGCUGACUCAGCACCACCGUGAGCUGGACAUGCACGAGAGGGCCGCUGGGUGAGACGAGGUAUGAUGAUGUGAGUGUGUGUGUGGGGGGGGGGCGCAGCCCACGUUGUCUCAGCCAUCGCUCUUGCGCUGCCAGUGAUGCUCCCGAAUUUGUUUCAACCCAUUUCACGGAAUGAUGCGGGAAAAGCGCCGUCGCUUGCUGCCCACUCACUCACCUGUCUCUCGCAUGUGAUGUGGUAGCCGCCUCUCCUUCCACAGUUUAUGCACGUUUGGGUGCUGUGCUCGGGCUGUGUUUGUUAGGGUAGACACGGGUGGCGUGGCGAUGCCUCCCUCUAGCACUGUCGCUGAGCGUGUGCCUGUGAGCGUGCUCGAAUGUGAUGCACGCACGCCCGCGUGUGAUUCUCACUCCCUUUUUUCUCUGCUGUGGCCGAUUCGAUUCUGUGUCUCUCCCUAGCUCCCAUUAUCUCCAGCUUCCGCUUGUACCGCUCUUUGGCGAGCGGGGGUACGUCUUGUCCCCACCCCUCGAUGGAUGCGUUUGAUAACGGGCGCGUACGUCUGUGGGUGCUCUUGCUCUCUUCAUAGUUGUGGCGGCUGUGGUUCGCCUUCGGAGGCUCUUGGCCGUGUCGUUCGGCGCCCGUUUCGUUUACGCGCUUCCAUCCUCUUCCCUGCAUUUCUUACUUCUGCCGACGUUGAAGUGAUGACUGGUUGCCACUGCCGCAGCCACCGCUGACAGCCCUGUCUUUGUUCCAUUCGACUUUGUUUAUUCUUUACCCCCUUUUGGUUUCGCGCUUUACUUUUACCGUUCCAGCUACCAGAUCAUCUCAUGCCUCUCCUCUGCGCUGGUGGCGUCAGCACUGCUCUCGCCAUCCUCCGUUCCUCUUCCCCCCCCUCUCUGUAUCUGCAGAUGGCAUGCGGGUGCGGCCGUGUCGCAUAUGUCGCGCUCAUUUCACUUUUUUCUGCACCUUCUCUGCGUGUGCGUGGGUGUUGUUUUCCUUCUUUGCGGCGCCGCUGCACCUCCGUCUUUUGCUCUGUAUGUUUGACGAUGCGGCGUCCUCGCUGCGUUGACGCCCCCGCCGUAGACCUCUCUGCCGCUUAUCGGCAUCGCAGUGUCGUUUAU
rnacentral:misc_RNA from 1 species